rnacentral:rRNA from 1 species
AGUAACCUGCCCUUGACUCUGGGAUAAGCCUGGGAAACUGGGUCUAAUACCGGAUAUGACUGCUCCGCGCAUGCGGUGGUGGUGGAAAGCUUUUGCGGUUUUGGAUGGACUCGCGGCCUAUCAGCUUGUUGGUGGGGUAAUGGCCUACCAAGGCGACGACGGGUAGCCGGCCUGAGAGGGUGACCGGCCACACUGGGACUGAGACACGGCCCAGACUCCUACGGGAGGCAGCAGUGGGGAAUAUUGCACAAUGGGCGCAAGCCUGAUGCAGCGACGCCGCGUGAGGGAUGACGGCCUUCGGGUUGUAAACCUCUUUCAGUAGGGAAGAAGCUUUCGGGUGACGGUACCUGCAGAAGAAGCGCCGGCUAACUACGUGCCAGCAGCCGCGGUAAUACGUAGGGCGCAAGCGUUAUCCGGAAUUAUUGGGCGUAAAGAGCUCGUAGGCGGUUUGUCGCGUCUGCUGUGAAAGACCGGGGCUCAACUCCGGUUCUGCAGUGGGUACGGGCAGACUAGAGUGAUGUAGGGGAGACUGGAAUUCCUGGUGUAGCGGUGAAAUGCGCAGAUAUCAGGAGGAACACCGAUGGCGAAGGCAGGUCUCU